rfam:Bacteroides faecichinchillae strain DSM 26883 genome assembly, contig: Ga0131157_132
GUGCAAAUCGCCUGGUAUACUACUUGUAGGUAUGCGAAUAUAUAUCAGUCAGUAAUAUGCCUCCCCGGCAUAGCAGGAAGA